rfam:Loxodonta africana unplaced genomic scaffold scaffold_135, whole genome shotgun sequence.
GGCCCUAUGGCUUAGUUGGUUAAAGCGCCUGUCUUGUAAACAGGAGAUCCUGGGUUCGAGUCCCAGUAAGGCCU